AUUGAACGCUGGCGGCAGGCCUAACACAUGCAAGUCGAGCGGAUGAAGGGAGCUUGCUCCUGGAUUCAGCGGCGGACGGGUGAGUAAUGCCUAGGAAUCUGCCUGGUAGUGGGGGAUAACGUCCGGAAACGGGCGCUAAUACCGCAUACGUCCUGAGGGAAAAAGUGGGGGAUCUUCGGACCUCACGCUAUCAGAUGAGCCUAGGUCGGAUUAGCUAGUUGGUGGGGUAAAGGCCUACCAAGGCGACGAUCCGUAACUGGUCUGAGAGGAUGAUCAGUCACGCUGGAACUGAGACACGGUCCAGACUCCUACGGGAGGCAGCAGUGGGGAAUAUUGGACAAUGGGCGAAAGCCUGAUCCAGCCAUGCCGCGUGUGUGAAGAAGGUCUUCGGAUUGUAAAGCACUUUAAGUUGGGAGGAAGGGCAGUAAGUUAAUACCUUGCUGUUUUGACGUUGCCAACAGAAUAAGCACCGGCUAACUUCGUG
rnacentral:rRNA from 1 species